rnacentral:lncRNA from 1 species
CAGCCUGCUAGCUGCACGCUAGCUUCGGGUACUCCUGGGUGAAGGUUAAACAAGAGGACAUUAAAGUUCAUUCUAUCAUAAAGAGGAAAUUAAUAUAAUAAAACCAAAGUUCAAUAUCUAGACAAUGGCACCCGAGAAACUGUUACUUUGAACAUCACUGUUUUUGAUCUGAUUAUGUCUCCCUUUCUCCAGACGUAACAUGUGUAUCUCCCAAUGUUUCCCUGUGUGGGGUUUUUCAGAGUCAGACUGAUAUCAGCACGAUCCUAUUGGAAAACUAUCAGUCACACCAAAAGUGCCCGUGUCGCAAAGCCGACUUAAGGAGUGGCUCACGGAAGCAGAUUCAGCCAAAUGGAGAAGGAGAGCCCUGGGCGGAUGGUGGCAUGUCAACAACAUAGCUGAAGAUUUGGAGAACAUGUCCUCAAAGCCUCAGCAGCUUCAUCCCAAGAGGCCUGAACCUAAAAAAGAAAGGAAGAAACCGUCUAAACAGAGCAAAUCUCCCAGACUCGCUCUUCCCAAAAAUGGCAACACGGCAGUUUCAUUAAAACCUCUAGGAGGAGCUCCAGUGCCUCUGACAGCAAAGUCACUGAUCACUCCUAAGACUGUCAAACGCUCUCUGGCGGCGUUUAAAGACAUUUUUGCUUCAGUCAUAGAGUCUUCGACCGUGGACAGACGUCAGACUAACAGAUGUAAUGUCAGAUCACGUCCGUCUGAGGAAAUCUGUGUAGCAGGCAGUAACACUCAUGCAGCUGACAACAGCCCAGACAACCAGGAGACCACACAAGACAGCAGGUCACAAGUCCACAGGAGUGGGCCGUCCUCCAUGAUUGAGCUGGAAGACUAUGAAGACGCUGACAGCAUAAUUUCGCUGUCAUCCAGGAGCCCAGUUCUGCUCUGCUUCAGAUCUUUGUGCCCCUCCCCUCAAGCCUCUGAUCUUACAGCGGAAGGAUACGGCCAACCUGGCUGA